CUUCCUUCUUCUCUUCCUGCCCUGUGUCUCCUUUUCUCAUUCCCUCACUUGCUUUCCUUUUCCUUGUUUCAUCUCAAGGUCCUCGGGACUUCCGUUACGGCGUGACGCUGAAUACAAGUGCACUUGGGAGCCGCCGUCUUGUUCCUGAUUUCAGUGGGACUGUUUUUAAGGUGACCAUCUGGGAUAAAGCUCAUGUUCAGCACUAAUGCCUUUGGAGUUGAUGCCAGUGAACAGGAAACAGUGAAUAAGCACAGCCCAGGAAGCUCCUUCCAGGGUACCGAGCUGGCGACUUGUUGGAUGCGGCCUGUGCAGCAGGAGAACAGUAUGCUGGCAAUAACGGCUAUGCCACCGAGAGCCUAAGCAGGCUUCCGUCUCCCACGCCUGAAACAAGCAGGCACACAGUGCAUGUGCUGUGCAAAUCUGAUUGCAAGAAAAGAAAAAGGAUCUGGCUUGAAAGAAAAUGAAAAAGCAAGAAUGGAACAAAGUUGGGCAGGCAGGCAUCUGCUGUAGUUUGUGAAGACUGAUGUUCCUAAACUGAGCAAGCUGCGGCCGUACAGCUGAAAAUUGUGAGUUUGCCGAGAAGUGCCGAUGAUGGCCCGUUUCUGCACCGCGGAACCUGUUACUUAUUUGAAACAGGGUCUGCAUCAGCGGAAGCCUGGCGCCGGGAAUCAAACCCAGUCAUUCAAACACCUGCAGCCGCUCCAGCUUGAGCGUUCAUUAGAACCACCUGCAGAGGUUGCUCGGCGCACUGCUGGGCUGCACCUCGAGGGUCGGAGUGGGCCAGAGGAUUCGCCUGCCUAACACGGUCACAGAGGCUGCUGUUCCUGGGUCCACGCUACGGAAUCCUUCGCCUUGGACAAUUUUCAUGGACUUUAUAGCUCAGGACCCCUUUUCCUGGAUAACUACCGUUUGCCAGACCUAUCAAAAGAAAUGAAGUGAAAUUAGGAAGGAAUAAAAUUAGGUUUUAAAAACCCUUAAACAACAAGCAGCUUAUAAUUCACUCAAAUAAGUAAGCAGAAAUUGCCUAAGCAAUUUUCAAAGCUUGGGUGAAAUGCCAUCAACAUGAUUUAAAUAUGAGAUCAGCUCAUCGCCUCGAUCUUUAUGGUGGCAUCUUCUGUGGUCAUCUCUGGCCUGCAAAGGGAGCAAUGACAAGUCAUUGUGUUCCUAAAUCCCUGAGAAUCAACCCUACCAUCAGUCAAGCAGCUGCAAUGGAUAGUGUGGUCAUGGCAGGUCUUAAGGAGGAUAAACAUCUCCUCUCAGGUCAGUUUCGCUGUGUGGCGCUGUCAUAGG